AUUGAACGCUGGCGGCAUGCCUAACACAUGCAAGUCGAACGGGGCAGCAAUGCCUAGUGGCGGACGGGUGAGGAAUACGUAGGAAUCUGCCCUUAAGUGGGGGAUAACCAGGGGAAACCCUGACUAAUACCGCAUGAUCUCUUCGGAGCAAAGAGGGGGACCGCAAGGCCUCUCGCUUCUGGAUGAGCCCACGUCUGAUUAGCUAGUUGGUAGGGUAAAGGCCUACCAAGGCGACGAUCAGUAACUGGUCUGAGAGGAUGAUCAGUCACACCGGAACUGAGACACGGUCCGGGCUCCUACGGGAGGCAGCAGUGGGGAAUAUUGGACAAUGGGCGCAAGCCUGAUCCAGCAAUGCCGCGUGUGUGAAGAAGGCCUUCGGGUUGUAAAGCACUUUAGCCUGGAAAGAAAAAACUUUGGUUAACACCCAAAGUCUUGACGGUACCAGGAGAAUAAGCACCGGCUAACUCUGUGCCAGCCGCCGCAGUAACAC
rnacentral:rRNA from 1 species